rnacentral:rRNA from 1 species
UACGAAGGAGGCUAGCGUUGUUCGGAAUUACUGGGCGUAAAGCGCACGUAGGCGGGUCGUUAAGUCAGGGGUGAAAUCCCAGAGCUCAACUCUGGAACUGCCUUUGAUACUGGCGACCUAGAGUUCGGAAGAGGUUAGUGGAAUUCCCAGUGUAGAGGUGAAAUUCGUAGAUAUUGGGAAGAACACCAGUGGCGAAGGCGGCUAACUGGUCCGAUACUGACGCUGAGGUGCGAAAGCGUGGGGAGCAAACAGG